rnacentral:rRNA from 1 species
CCUACGGGAGGCAGCAGUGAGGAAUAUUGGUCAAUGGACGAGAGUCUGAACCAGCCAAGUAGCGUGAAGGAUGACUGCCCUAUGGGUUGUAAACUUCUUUUAUAUGGGAAUAAAAUGUUCCACGUGUGGGAUUUUGUAUGUACCAUAUGAAUAAGGAUCGGCUAACUCCGUGCCAGCAGCCGCGGUAAUACGGAGGAUCUGAGCGUUAUCCGGAUUUAUUGGGUUUAAAGGGAGCGUAGGUGGAUUGUUAAGUCAGUUGUGAAAGUUUGCGGCUCAACCGUAAAAUUGCAGUUGAAACUGGCAGUCUUGAGUACAGUAGAGGUGGGCGGAAUUCGUGGUGUAGCGGUGAAAUGCUUAGAUAUCACGAAGAACUCCGAUUGCGAAGGCAGUUCACUGGACUGCAACUGACACUGAGGCUCGAAAGUGUGGGUAUCAAACAGGAUUAGAUACCCCUGUAGUC